GUUUGGGGGACCAAGUCCAUCAUCGCAACCUGCCACUGCACGCCAGUGCCAGCAUGGCCAUGGCUCCUUGUUGUGUCCUUGUGUCCCUGUGAGGCAAGGGCACGAUCGAGGAAGAAAGGGAUGGCCUCCUACCGCUGGCCUCUACGUGAUGCGCGUGAAUUAAGAGCGUGUUUGGGUGACGGCCACAGCUUACUACGUCCCAAAUCAAAAGCCACACUUGUGGCGAGAUUUUGUGCUGGGAAGGCACGUGGCUGCUGUAGCUUUUGGCUGAACCAAGUAGCAGCCUAUACUAGCUUUUGUUUUGUGGCACGCCGCGUGUUAGGCGUGAACCACGGUGGGGAACCAAACACGCCUUGCAGUAUUAUUGAUAGCCAGGGAUCAGAAAUACGGAUUCCACCAAACAGCACAAACGAGGGGAGUGGCUGUCAAUUCUUAGGAUCAAACUCAGAAUUGUCCUUCUCUUUGGUGAUUGUCAUGCAUGCUCAUGUCUCAGAGGAUAUAGAAGUGGUUCACACAUGACACAUGGCUUCAUAUACUAUUGCUGACCUGCCGAUCCAUUCACGAUGUCUCGUCGCUUGUGCCACAAGGUUUCAUCCCCGGAAUGCUCGUCACUUUCAAAGAUCCAGAUGCGCCUCUCUGCAUGGCUUUUGGCCGUAGUGAUUAUGUUACGCCGCUCCUGCCCUCCUAGCCCGUUGUGAGUGUUUAUAAUAUACAAAUACACCACAUGACCACAGUAGCUAGCUGCUAAGCACUUGAUUGACGUACCCUAGUGUCGUUACGAAAACAAGAGUGAAAUGUACCAAUAGUGUACCGUAGGAUUCUAAACUACGUACUCCUGCAUUCUCA